rnacentral:rRNA from 1 species
UACAGAGGUCUCAAGCGUUGUCCGGAUUUAUUGGGCGUAAAGAGCGUGUAGGCGGCCAGGUAGGUCUGCUGUGAAAACUCGAGGCUUAACCUCGAGCUGUCGGCGGAAACCAUCUGGCUAGAGUCCGGAAGAGGAGAAUGGAAUUCCCGGUGUAGCGGUGAAAUGCGCAGAUAUCGGGAAGAGCACCCGUGGCGAAGGCGGUUCUCUGGGACGGUACUGACGCUGAGACGCGAAAGCGUGGGGAGCGAACAGG